rnacentral:lncRNA from 1 species
ACUUCAACAUAUUAUUCGAGCUUGGAAUUUAAAAACGAAGAAGAACGAGCUUAAUGGAAGACGAAGAAGCGCUUGUAUUCGGUUCCACAAAUCUUGUAUUCGGUUUUACUGCUUAGAAGAAAUUCCACAUAGCUUGUAUUCGAUUCUCGACUUCUUUUAUUCGGUUCUAGUGCUUAUGUUAAAUGAAGAAUCCGUUGUAUUCGGUUCUAGUAUUUCUUGUAUUCGGUUCCAGUCAUUGGUUCCCCAUGUUAUACGUGUGUAUUUGGUUUGUAGGUGUGCAUUAUUCGGUUCCCAUAGCUGUAUUCAUUCCCCUCCCUCGCACAGUACUAGGCUAACCCUUACUAUGUGUUGCACAGUAAUUCCUCUAUAAUUUCAUCCACCUGAAAAUGCGAUUACAAUGUUCAAUGGACCCUCGCUGCGUUAACUCCU